GUGGGGAAUAUUGGACAAUGGGCGCAAGCCUGAUCCAGCCAUGCCGCGUGAGUGAUGAAGGCCCUAGGGUUGUAAAGCUCUUUCACCGGAGAAGAUAAUGACGGUAUCCGGAGAAGAAGCCCCGGCUAACUUCGUGCCAGCAGCCGCGGUAAUACGAAGGGGGCUAGCGUUGUUCGGAAUUACUGGGCGUAAAGCGCACGUAGGCGGACAUUUAAGUCAGGGGUGAAAUCCCGGGGCUCAACCCCGGAACUGCCUUUGAUACUGGGUGUCUGGAGUAUGGAAGAGGUAAGUGGAAUUCCGAGUGUAGAGGUGAAAUUCGUAGAUAUUCGGAGGAACACCAGUGGCGAAGGCGGCUUACUGGUCCAUUACUGACGCUGAGGUGCGAAAGCGUGGGGAGCAAACAGGAUUAGAUACCCCGGUAGUCC
rnacentral:rRNA from 1 species